GACGAACGCUGGCGGCGUGCUUAACACAUGCAAGUCGAACGGAAAGGCCCAGCUUGCUGGGUACUCGAGUGGCGAACGGGUGAGUAACACGUGGGUGAUCUGCCCUGCACUCUGGGAUAAGCCUGGGAAACUGGGUCUAAUACCGGAUAUGACCGACUGUCGCAUGGUGGUUGGUGGAAAGCUUUUGCGGUGUGGGAUGGGCCCGCGGCCUAUCAGCUUGUUGGUGGGGUAAUGGCCUACCAAGGCGACGACGGGUAGCCGACCUGAGAGGGUGAUCGGCCACACUGGGACUGAGACACGGCCCAGACUCCUACGGGAGGCAGCAGUGGGGAAUAUUGCACAAUGGGCGCAAGCCUGAUGCAGCGACGCCGCGUGAGGGAUGACGGCCUUCGGGUUGUAAACCUCUUUCACCAGGGACGAAGCGUGAGUGACG
rnacentral:rRNA from 1 species